rnacentral:rRNA from 1 species
UACGUAGGGGGCUAGCGUUGUUCGGAUUUACUGGGCGUAAAGCGCACGUAGGCGGAUUGGUCAGUUAGGGGUGAAAUCCUGGAGCUCAACUCCAGAACUGCCUUAAUACUGCCAGUCUCGAGUCCGGAAGAGGUAAGUGGAACUCCUAGUGUAGAGGUGGAAUUCGUAGAUAUUAGGAAGAACACCAGUGGCGAAGGCGGCUUACUGGUCCGGUACUGACGCUGAGGUGCGAAAGCGUGGGGAGCAAACAGGG